GCCCGGCUAGCUGAUUUGGUAGAGCAUGGGACUCUUGAUCUCACGAUCAUGGGUUUGAGCCCCAUGCUAGGUG